rnacentral:tRNA from 1 species
GCCUGGGUGGCUCAGUCGGUUGAGCAUCUGACUUCGGCUCAGGUCGUGAUCUCACAGUUCGUGAGUUUGAGCCCCACGUCGGGCU